AAAUAAUAUGGUCAAGCGAAUAAGGGCAUACGGUGGAUGCCUUGGCACUGGAAGGCGAUGAAGGUCGUGGCAAGCUGCGAUAAGCCUCGGUUAGGAGCAAGCAUCCUUUGACCCGGGGAUAACCGAAUCGGAAAACCGAUUCCGAUAAAAUCGGAAUAUCUGUCACUGAAUACAUAGGUGGCAGAGGCUAGACCAGGGGAAUUGAAACAUCUUAGUACCCUGAGGAAGAGAAAGUAAAAACGAUUUCCUGAGUAGUGGCGAGCGAAAGGGAAACAGCCUAAACCGAAUUCUAUGUUACAGCCCAGGAGCGCUGUAGAUUCGGGGUAAUAGGAUACAGACGGAGAACCUCCUGGAGUUCUCGGGAAGUCACAAAAUUUUAACUUAGUUGAAUUGACUGGAAAGAAAGCCAUAGAGGGUGACAGCCCCGUAAGCGAAAAGUUAAAAUCUUCCUGGUUUGUAUUCCUGAGUAGCGCGGGACACGAGAAAUCCUGUGUGAAUUAACGAAGACCACUUCGUAAGGCUAAAUACUCCCCAGUGACCGAUAGUGGACAAGUACCGUGAGGGAAAGGUGAAAAGAACCCCGAGAGGGAAGUGAAAUAGAUCCUGAAACCGUAUGCUUACAAGGUGUGGGAGGGCUAUGCUUGCAUGCCUGACCGCGUGCCUUUUGUAGAAUGAGCCGGCGAGUUAUUUUAUGCAGCAAGGUUAAGUGAUUGUAAUCAUGAAGCCGUAGCGAAAGCGAGUCUGAAUAGGGCGAUUAGUUGCAUGGAAUAGACCCGAAACCGAGUGAUCUAGCCAUGGCCAGGUUGAAGUCCCGGUAAAACGGGAUGGAGGACCGAACCGGUGAAUGUUGAAAAAUUCUCGGAUGAGCUGUGGCUAGGGGUGAAAGACCAAACAAACUCGGCAAUAGCUGGUUCUCCUCGAAAUAGCUUUAGGGCUAGCCUCGAGUGUUUAGUUACGGAGGUAGAGCACUGAUUGGGCUAGGGGGUCCACAAACUUACCAAACCCAGAUAAACUCCGAAUGCCGUAACUUUAGAACUCGGGAGUCAGACUACGGGAGAUAAGUUCCGUGGUCGAAAGGGAAACAGCCCAGACCAACAGCUAAGGUCCCCAAAUGUAUACUAAGUGAAAAAGGAGGUGGAGUUGCUUAGACAGCCAGGAGGUUGGCUUAGAAGCAGCAAUCCUUUAAAGAGUGCGUAAUAGCUCACUGGUCGAGUGACUCUGCGCCGAAAAUGAUUGGGGCUAAGUAUACUACCGAAGCUUUGGAUCCCGACUUGUCGGGAUGGUAGAGGAGCGUUCCAUACGGGCUGAAGGUCGAUCGUGAGGACGACUGGACUGUAUGGAAGUGAGAAUGCCGGCAUGAGUAACGAAAAAAGAAGUAAAAAACUUCUUCGCCGUAAGCCUAAGGUUUUCUGGGCAAUGUUAAUCAUCUCAGAGUUAGUCGGCCCCUAAGGCGAGGCCGAAAGGCGUAGCCGAUGGGAAGCAGGUUCAUAUUCCUGCACCACUUGAUGGAGGUUAUCGUGAUGGAGUGACGCAGACAGAUAUGGACGCAGGGCGUUGGUUGCCCCUGUCCUUAUGCGUAGGCCGGGAUCCUGGAAAAUCCGGAUUCCACAAGGCUGAGGCUGUAGGGGAGUAAUCCUUCGGGAGAGCGAAGGUUCUGAUUCUAUGCUGCCAAGAAAAACUUCUAAACGCGAAAUCAAGUGACCGUACCGUAAACCGACACAGGUAGGCGGGGAGAGUAUCCUAAGGCGCUCGAGAGAACUCUCGUUAAGGAACUCGGCAAAAUGGUCCCGUAACUUAGGGAAAAGGGACGCCCCGGUAGUGUGAAAUCCUUACGGAUGGAGCACGAGGGGGCCGCAGUGAAACGGACCAAGCGACUGUUUACCAAAAACACAGGACUCUGCAAAAUCGUAAGAUGAAGUAUAGGGUCUGACACCUGCCCGGUGCCGGAAGGUUAAGAGGAGGGGUUAGUCUUCGGACGAAGCUCUGAAUUGAAGCCCCGGUAAACGGCGGCCGUAACUAUGACGGUCCUAAGGUAGCGAAAUUCCUUGUCGGGUAAGUUCCGACCUGCACGAAUGGUGUAACGACUUGGUCACUGUCUCAACGGGAGACUCGGUGAAAUUGUAAUACUCGUGAAGAUGCGGGUUACCUGCAGAAGGACGGAAAGACCCCGUGCACCUUUACUGCAACCUGACACUGUAGUUUGGUACAAUAUGUGUAGGAUAGGUGGGAGACUAUGAAACCGGGACGCCAGUCUUGGUGGAGUCAACCUUGAAAUACCACCCUUAUUGUAUUGGACUACUAACCGGUACCCUUUGAUCAGGGACUGGGACACUGUCUGGCGGGCAGUUUGACUGGGGCGGUCGCCUCCAAAAAAGUAACGGAGGCGCCCAAAGGUUCCCUCAGCACGGACGGAAAUCGUGCGUAGAGUGUAAACGCAUAAGGGAGCUUGACUGCGAGACCUACAAGUCGAGCAGGUACGAAAGUAGGGGUUAGUGAUCCGGUGGUCCCGCGUGGAAGGGCCAUCGCUCAACGGAUAAAAGGUACGCCGGGGAUAACAGGCUUAUAGCGCCCAAGAGUUCAGAUCGACGGCGCUGUUUGGCACCUCGAUGUCGGCUCUUCGCAUCCUGGGGCUGGAGAAGGUCCCAAGGGUUCGGCUGUUCGCCGAUUAAAGCGGAACGCGAGCUGGGUUCAGAACGUCGUGAGACAGUUCGGUCCCUAUCCUCUGCAGGCGUUGGAAAUUUGAGGAGAGCUGUUCCUAGUACGAGAGGACCGGAAUGGACGAACCUCUGGUGUACCAGUUGUCGUGCCAACGGCACAGCUGGGUAGCUAAGUUCGGAAUGGAUAACCGCUGAAAGCAUCUAAGCGGGAAGCCAACUCCAAGAUAAGAUUUCCCUUGAUCUUUAAGGUCACUGAAGACUCCUCGGAGACUACGAGGUUGAUAGGCUGGAGGUACAAGCACAGUAAUGUGUUAAGCCGACCAGUACUAAUCAGUCGUGAGGCUUGACCAUAU
rnacentral:rRNA from 1 species